rnacentral:tRNA from 1 species
GGGGGCGUGGCUCAGCUGGGAGAGCACCUCGUUCGCAACGAGGGGGUCGGGGGUUCGAGUCCCCCCGUCUCCACCA